GUGCUCCAAGCUAGGAAGUAAGAAUGUGGAGAUGGAAGACUCCUGCCCUCGAAGGGGUUGUAUUGUUGCAGAGAGACAUGCAUUGGGACACCUGCAACACACCAUGAAGGUCUUCCAACCCCUGGUAUCAUCAUAUGAGACUUGCAACUCAGAACAACAAAUACAGAAGAGUGUAAAACAGGACCAAAGAGCCAACUUGUUCACCAGCUGAAAUUAGAUGGGUUUAGCAAAGAAAGCACACAGUCUAUGGAAAAAAGAAAAAAAG